rnacentral:rRNA from 1 species
CCUACGGGUGGCAGCAGUCGAGAAUCAUUCACAAUGGGGGAAACCCUGAUGGUGCGACGCCGCGUGGGGGAAUGAAGGUCUUCGGAUUGUAAACCCCUGUCAUGUGGGAGCAAAUUAAAAAGAUAGUACCACACGAGGAAGAGACGGCUAACUCUGUGCCAGCAGCCGCGGUAAUACAGAGGUCUCAAGCGUUGUUCGGAAUCACUGGGCGUAAAGCGUGCGUAGGCUGUUUCGUAAGUCGUGUGUGAAAGGCGCGGGCUCAACCCGCGGACGGCACAUGAUACUGCGAGACUAGAGUAAUGGAGGGGGAACCGGAAUUCUCGGUGUAGCAGUGAAAUGCGUAGAUAGCGAGAGGAACACUCGUGGCGAAGGCGGGUUCCUGGACAUUAACUGACGCUGAGGCACGAAGGCCAGGGGAGCGAAAGGGAUUAGAUACCCCGGUAGUC